GUUUGACGACUGUUUGCUUGUAUUUCCUCCAUUUCGCAUCCUUCACUUGCAUACGAGACACAAAGACAAAGAUCUGUAUUUUUUAAAUCUAUAUUUGUAGAGGGGGGGGGAGGAGGAAUUGGGUCUCACAUAUUCAAGUUUGUACAAUACAAGACUACUAUGGCAGCAGCCACAUUCUUGAGGAUUGCGUUGUUCUUGUCCGAUUUGAAUCCGUGGCAAUAAGACCACGACUUCUCUUGAACCAGUAUCGUGAAAGCAGACCAACGAGCUUCUCGUUGUGGCUGUUCUCAAUCUCCCUCUUCUGUUGUUGUUGCGCACAUGCUGAGUUUCCCUCGGGAAAUGGAUCCUUUCUCAACUUGUUUGCUUUGCUCGACGAGCUGGUUCGAUUGUUAUAAGAUCAAUAGCAAAUCAAAGGUGUCAGAAUCGCCAAGAGGACUAAACCUAAACGAAAAAGGAUAUUUAUCGCUUCGUAAGUAAUUUUAAGAACGAAAAAAAGGAAAAAACUUUUUAACCAAAAAAUAAAGAACAAUUUUUUAUAA